rnacentral:rRNA from 1 species
UACGAAGGGGGCUAGCGUUGUUCGGAAUUACUGGGCGUAAAGCGCACGUAGGCGGAUUUGUAAGUCAGGGGUGAAAUCCCGGGGCUCAACCUCGGAACUGCCUUUGAUACUGCAAAUCUCGAGUCCGGAAGAGGUGAGUGGAAUUCCUAGUGUAGAGGUGAAAUUCGUAGAUAUUAGGAAGAACACCAGUGGCGAAGGCGGCUCACUGGUCCGGUACUGACGCUGAGGUGCGAAAGCGUGGGGAGCAAACAGG